rnacentral:tRNA from 1 species
GGGGCGUUAGCUCAGUUGGUUAGAGCAGAGGACUCAUAAUCCUUUGGUCCACGGUUCAAGUCCGUGACGCCCCACCA